UGGGGCCUUCUGGGCUUCAGAGGAGCCUCUGGUGGGGGGAGUUUCUGCUCCCCUAAGGCUCCUCUGAGGCUCAGGAAGGAAAAAAAAACAGCAUAGGAGGGCCACGCAGCACCCCUCCACACUCCAUUUUGGGAGCUUCCUGGCCUCAGAAGAGCCUCUGGGGUGGUGUUAUUGCUCCCCCAAGGCU